rnacentral:rRNA from 1 species
UAACGCGGGGCAACCUGGCGACGAGUGGCGAACGGGUGAGUAAUGCAUCGGAACGUGCCCAGUAGUGGGGGAUAGCCCGGCGAAAGCCGGAUUAAUACCGCAUACGACCUACGGGUGAAAGCGGGGGACUCGCAAGAGCCUCGCGCUAUUGGAGCGGCCGAUGUCAGAUUAGCUAGUUGGUGGGGUAAAAGCCUACCAAGGCGACGAUCUGUAGCUGGUCUGAGAGGACGACCAGCCACACUGGGACUGAGACACGGCCCAGACUCCUACGGGAGGCAGCAGUGGGGAAUUUUGGACAAUGGGCGCAAGCCUGAUCCAGCCAUGCCGCGUGCGGGAAGAAGGCCUUCGGGUUGUAAACCGCUUUUGUCAGGGAAGAAACGCUCUGGGCUAAUACCCCGGGGUAAUGACGGUACCUGAAGAAUAAGCACCGGCUAACUACGUGCCAGCAGCCGCGGUAAUACGUAGGGUGCAAGCGUUAAUCGGAAUUACUGGGCGUAAAGCGUGCGCAGGCGGUUAUGCAAGACAGAUGUGAAAUCCCCGGGCUCAACCUGGGAACUGCAUUUGUGACUGCAUAGCUAGAGUACGGUAGAGGGGGAUGGAAUUCCGCGUGUAGCAGUGAAAUGCGUAGAUAUGCGGAGGAACACCGAUGGCGAAGGCAAUCCCCUGGACCUGUACUGACGCUCAUGCACGAAAGCGUGGGGAGCAAACAGGAUUAGAUACCCUGGUAGUCCACGCCCUAAACGAUGUCAACUGGUUGUUGGACGGCUUGCUGUUCAGUAACGAAGCUAACGCGUGAAGUUGACCGCCUGGGGAGUACGGCCGCAAGGUUGAAACUCAGAGGAAUUGACGGGGACCCGCACAAGCGGUGGAUGAUGUGGUUUAAUUCGAUGCAACGCGAAAAACCUUACCUACCCUUGACAUGUCAAAUCUUGCAGAGAUGUGAGAGUGCUCGAAAGAGAACUUGAACACAGGUGCUGCAUGGCCGUCGUCAGCUCGUGUCGUGAGAUGUUGGGUUAAGUCCCGCAACGAGCGCAACCCUUGUCAUUAGUUGCUACGAAAGGGCACUCUAAUGAGACUGCCGGUGACAAACCGGAGGAAGGUGGGGAUGACGUCAGGUCCUCAUGGCCCUUAUGGGCAGGGCUACACACGUCAUACAAUGGCCGGUACAGAGGGCUGCCAACCCGCGAGGGGGAGCUAAUCCCAGAAAACCGGUCGUAGUCCGGAUCGCAGUCUGCAACUCGACUGCGUGAAGUCGGAAUCGCUAGUAAUCGCGGAUCAGCUUGCCGCGGCGAAUACGUUCCCGUGUCUUGUACACACCGCCCGUCACACCAUGGGAGCGGGUUCUGCCAGAAGUAGUUAGCCUAACCGCAAGGGGGGCGAUUACCACGGCAGGGUUCGUGACUGGGGUGAAGUCGUAACAAGGUA